CUACGUGCCAGCAGCCGCGGUAAUACGGAAGGUCCGGGCGUUAUCCGGAUUUAUUGGGUUUAAAGGGAGCGUAGGCCGGAGAUUAAGUGUGUUGUGAAAUGUAGACGCUCAACGUCUGACUUGCAGCGCAUACUGGUUUCCUUGAGUACGCACAACGUUGGUGGAAUUCGUCGUGUAGCGGUGAAAUGCUUAGAUAUGACGAAGAACUCCGAUUGCGAAGGCAGCUGACGGGAGCGCAACUGACGCUUAAGCUCGAAGGUGCGGGUAUCGAACAGGAUUAGAUACCCUGGUAGUCCGCACAGUAAACGAUGGAUGCCCGCUGUUGGUACCUGGUAUCAGCGGCUAAGCGAAAGCAUUAAGCAUCCCACCUGGGGAGUACGCCGGCAACGGUGAAACUCAAAGGAAUUGACGGGGGCCCGCACAAGCGGAGGAACAUGUGGUUUAAUUCGAUGAUACGCGAGGAACCUUACCCGGGCU
rnacentral:rRNA from 1 species